CCUUUGAUCUGCGGCCUGGAGGGAAGCGAGCAGCCACUGACGCUAUCGUCUUCCAGAAUCCGAGCCGUGAUCUUGAACCGGCGCUGCAAGCCAGGAGGACGGAGAUGUUCUCCCCGGACUGCCGCAGCCGCGUCCUGAGCUGGAAGGAGAGGAGCAGGAGUAGAGGGCGUUGAAUAGGAUCGUAGGUUGACCAUCGACCUCACCGCUGACCCCCGCCCC